UACGUAGGGUGCAAGCGUUGUCCGGAAUUAUUGGGCGUAAAGAGCUCGUAGGCGGUUUGUCGCGUCUGCUGUGAAAACCCGAGGCUCAACCUCGGGCCUGCAGUGGGUACGGGCAGACUAGAGUGCGGUAGGGGAGAUUGGAAUUCCUGGUGUAGCGGUGGAAUGCGCAGAUAGUCAGGGGGAACACCGAUGGCGAAGGCAGAUCUCUGGGCCGUAACUGACGCUGAGGAGCGAAAGCAUGGGGAGCGAACAGG
rnacentral:rRNA from 1 species